rnacentral:misc_RNA from 1 species
GCAAACUUGGUCAUUUAGAGGAAGUAAAAGUCGUAACAAGGUUUCCGUAGGUGAACCUGCGGAAGGAUCAUUAAAGAUUCUUAAUUCUUCGGCUGUGCGCUUCGGCUGCACGCUGUUGAAAACCUCUUUACACACCUGUGCACCGUUCGGUCGCGGCUUGUUAACUCAGGCUUAGCUUCCGCUUUACACAUUUAACAACGAAGUCUAGAAUGUAACAAACGAUAAAGUAACAACUUUCAACAACGGAUCUCUUGGCUCUCGCAUCGAUGAAGAACGCAGC